GAUUCUCUGAUCAGUUUUGGCUGACAGCAUCUCCAGCAUCAGUUCAGAAAGACUCAAGCACAGUGCAGCUGACACAUGAUGAACAUGACGCUCAGUCUGAUUUGAGUAAGAGUGAGGGCUUAUUUUUGUACUGUAAAAUAUUACAGUAAAAUUUCACUGUUUAGCACGGAGUAUCAUUUAAAUCUUCUUCUAUUAAGCAUGAUCAUAAUCUGAUGCUCUACUAUCACAUGACUGUGUGUGUUUGCAGAUGAGCGGCCUGACAUUAAAAUCAUCCAUGAUUCUGAAAAGAGUGAAUUUAGAAUUCUUUGUGACAUACCAGGAUCAGAUGAUGGUGGUUAUAAUUGUUUUCUUUCUCUUGGAGAUGAAUAUCCACAAUUUAAAAAGAUACAAUCUCAUGAACUGUCUGGAAAAACACAGUGUCGUUUUACAGUCUUGGAAUAUGAAUUUUCAAAUAAUCUGAAGUCAGUGGAGAAUAAAGUAGUGAGCUGCAGUUAUUCUCCAAAAAAUGCAUCAUCCAAACGAUUAUAUAGUGAGAAGUACAACCUAACAGCUUUUUUUCCUGUGAAAAUUCAGUCACCACCAACAACAAAGGGAUCAUUAUCAACUCUGGUUACAGAAUCCAGUACUUGUUAUGAGACCACAAUAAACCCUACAACUGAAACUACUCAUCCUUCACAACCUCUCAACGUGACAUGGAACACAACAGGGGUUCUCAAAGUCGCAGCUGCUGGUGAAAAUGCUGUCCAUAGAACACCAAGAACAAAAACAUUGCUCAUCCUGACACUGGCAGCCACAAGCGGAGGGAUUUUCCUGACCGGACUCAUGGGCAUCUGUCUGUGCUACAUCAGACUGAAACCAAGGAAGAAGAGCCCUGUGAAUACUUCUGUAGCAGCCAUUCCCCAGACCUCAGGUAAAUCAUAA
ensembl:lncRNA